rnacentral:rRNA from 1 species
AUGAUACAUGGUCCAUGUGGUCAAGCACACCCAAAAUCACCAUGCAUGGUCGAUAAAAGUUGUGCCAAACAUUUCCCCAAGAAUUUUUGCACUGAGACUACCAUAGAUGAAGAUAACUAUCCAGUAUAUAGAAGACGAGAUGAUGGCAACACUGUGGACAAGAAUGGAGUGAAGCUAGACAAUAGAUUUGUUGUGCCAUACAAUAGAAACCUACUGGUCAAGUAUCAAGCCCACAUAAAUGUUGAAUGGUGCAACAGAUCAAGGUCUAUAAAGUAUUUAUUCAAAUACAUCCACAAAGGAGAAGAUCGAACAACUGUCUUGAUAGAAGCAGAAGAGCAACAAAGUGAAAAAAGAGCUAGCAAAUUAACAAACAGGGACGACGAAAUCAAGAGGUACCUUGAUGCCCGGUACAUAUCUGGAUGUGAAGCCGCAUGGCGCAUAUUUCAGUUUCCUCUUCAGUACAGAGAGCCUGCGGUUGAUAGGUUACAAUUUCACCUAGAAAAUGAACAUGUUGUGGUGUUCCCAGACUGA